rnacentral:tmRNA from 1 species
CUGCCACAAUGGCUGAGUCCGGUUUCGGCCGGACUAGGUGGCUCACACCAGUGCUUCGGACAGCGGUUCGAUUCCGCUCAGCUCCAUUCCCGUUCAGGGUUCCGUCCCUGGGGCGGAUCCAUCAGGGGGCUGCAAUGGUUUCGACGGGGUAUAAGGAGGGUGACUGAAGCCUGCUCGGUAAGAGCAAACCCGUAACAGCGAACAACAUCGUUCGUUUCUCCCGUCAGCCCGCCCCUGUGGCCGCCUGACAUCUCUAAGGGAGAUGGGGUGAGGUCAGCCUUAUCACCCAAAUGACCCAUGGGGCCUGGAAGGGCCC